rnacentral:rRNA from 1 species
UACGUAGGGUGCGAGCGUUGUCCGGAAUUAUUGGGCGUAAAGGGCUCGUAGGCGUUUGUCGCGUCGGGAGUGAAAACUCAGGGCUUAACCCUGAGCCUGCUUCCGAUACGGGCAGACUAGAGGUAUUCAGGGGAGAAUGGAAUUCCUGGUGUAGCGGUGAAAUGCGCAGAUAUCAGGAGGAACACCGGUGGCGAAGGCGGGUCUCUGGGCAGUAACUGACGCUGAGGAGCGAAAGCGUGGGGAGCGAACAGG